GAAAGGACAACUCUCACAUUAGUGCAUUACUAAUUGUUUGACUUCAUCAUCAAGCACACCAGGUGGUGCGGUGGUACAGUGGAUAGCGCUGUUGCCUCCCAGCAAAAAGAUUUCUGGUUCGAGCCUCGACUGGGUCAGUUGGCAUUUCUGUGUGAAGUUUGCAUGUUCUCCUCGUGUUGGCUUGGGUUUCCUCCGGGUGCUCCGGUUUCCCCCACAAGACAUGCGGUACAGGUGAAAUGGAUUGUGAUGGACCUGGAAUGUUACACCAGUUACUCUUAAGUCAAGAACCAAAUGAAGCACACUUUUCCAGAGUACAGAUUAUGGAAGUAUCUGCAGCUAACUGGAAGCAGGGAACCAUACUAAUAAAGUUCAUUUAGUGAAAUAUUGGACCAGAUGUUCCAUAAAGCGGAUGGGAAAACCUUGUCCUCUGAAGUGGACGUCAAAGUAGACCCUGCAUCAUUUGUGUGGUUCCUUGUAAAGAUGAACCCAGAGAAGGAUCGAAAGUGAAGAAGACCAGAUCAAGAAAGACCACAUCAAGAUCUGUGGUCAGUUCAAAGGAUGUUUUGCAUUGGACUGUUUUUUAUGGCUUUG